rnacentral:lncRNA from 1 species
CGCAUCUUCCUCACUUGGAAUUCUACAAACCCACGUCCCUCAUGUAAAUUUGUAACUCUGUAUUUGGAGACACAAACAUCAACUAAAAGUGAAACGAGGGAUCAUUUAGUAACAAUCAAACUCACUAUUAAUGCAUUCAGAUAAUAAUGAAAUUUACAUUUCGUGAUAUAAGAAAAAGGGGACUCGUUAAAGCAAACCAUCCGCAGUUCAUCACCAAACACAGAAAUCGACUAUAACAAGAAGCUAGAAGAUAGUUCACAACAGGAAUCAAUCAUACCGCUAGACUUACAUGUGUCGCAUGAUAACAAAAUGUAUAUAAGAUGGAUAAAAACUAAUUCUUCAGAAUAUACUUUGCCAGUUGUAUAGUACCUGCCACCUGGCUUCGAUGGUGUUGAGAUCAUUUUCAAAUGAGCCGGCGAGGACCCAAAUCUGGGACAGAUUGAACUCCAUGAUUGAAGAAAACAGCACCACCACAUGUUUAGUCUCGACAUUGCGCCGUAGAAGUACCCGCCGGUCAUUCAUCGACAGUGACACUGGCAGAACAUCAAGUUAGCAAAUGGACCAGAUGGCAACGACACACAAAACUAAUUGAACUAUGGAGAAGUAAACACACCAGUAGCGUCGUGUGGCGGCUUAUUGAUCUACCAAACAUAGAAAUGAAAUUUCAAUACUCUAAGAAUGCAUUCAUUCACAUAAAAAAGGAAGAUUAAUUGGAACUAAAAGGAACAAAAAGGCGGGCAUGCUUGUAUUCUGUCGGCUAGCAAUCUGAACUAUCAUGAAAAUGAGGAGAUCUGGAGAGGUGAACAAAUUAAACUCUACUUGGUACACUAUAAAAAAAGCAUAUGAGCAAAUAGGCACCCACAAAGACACAGAAAACAGCCUACAGAAGAAUUGGCUGACCAUGGUUAUAAUUCAAGAAACAGAAAACUUAUGCUUGUUCAGUAACAAAAAAAAUUGGCUGACCAUGCUUAUAAUUCAAGAAACUAUAGUUCCAUCAUCUUCUUGUCCUAUGAUAAAUUUGCAACAUGGACAUGGUUAUAAACAUUUGUCAAAUCAUUGGUCACAAGACAAACAGGUUAACUUCAGCGCCAGCUUGAACCAAAGAGUGCAUCUGAGAAGUAAUACAGAUGACCUAGGCUACAAGUAAUUCAUGAAUUACAGAACAAUAACUUGUGUUAAUAGGUUGGUAGAACAUGAAGGCACGUCUAGCUAUAAGUUGAUGGCCUGAUGGAUUAAAAAAUCCUCAGUGAAACAUUUAAGGAUCCAAACAAGGGAGGUAACAAACUUGACUGAAGUAUAAGUGAUAAUUCUUCAGUUGUCUGCGGCACCACAUAUUUAUUUUAAGAAGGGCCUUGUCCACCAAAUCAACAACGCACUUCAUUCUCUGUAUAUGCGUUAGCAUCACAUAUCUUCUUGAGCAUCAGACAUCUUGGACUUACAUAGCUAGAAAAAUUUCCCAUUAGAAAGAGAGAGAUAGAGAGAUGCGAGAGAGAGGGAGGAGACCUUGCCGAGCUGUUGGUCAUGGGUCAGAGUUCCAUUGAUGGUGGAGGCGGCGGCCGAGAUCCAUGGCGGCGUGUGGUGGGGAGAUGGUGAGAGAAGGAGAGAAGGGGUGGGGGCGCCGGCAGAUUUGGGCCUCUUCCUCACCCGCCGUUCGGCGGCGCGGGCAGAUUUGGCCGUUUCUGCGGCGAGGCCGACGUCGGCGGGUUGGAUGUGGCAGCGCGGGGCGGCGGAGCAGAGGCAAGAGCGAGGGAGACGAGGAGGUCGCGUGCGAGCAGG